GUUCUGGUGGUCUAGCUGUUAGAACGUCCGCCUCAGAUGCAGAAGGUCGCGAGUUCAAACCCCGAUGGAGUCAUACCA